UGAGGGAUAUUGGGCAAUGGGGGAAACCCUGACCCAGCGACGCCGCGUGAGGGAAGACGGUCUUCGGAUUGUAAACCUCUGUCUUUGGGGACGAAGAAGGACGGUACCCAAGGAGGAAGCUCCGGCUAACUACGUGCCAGCAGCCGCGGUAAUACGUAGGGAGCGAGCGUUGUCCGGAAUUACUGGGUGUAAAGGGAGCGUAGGCGGGAUUGCAAGUUGGAUGUGAAAACUGCGGGCUCAACCCGGAGAGUGCAUUCAAAACUGCGAUUCUUGAGUGAAGUAGAGGCAAGCGGAAUUCCUAGUGUAGCGGUGAAAUGCGUAGAUAUUAGGAGGAACACCAGUGGCGAAGGCGGCUUGCUGGGCUUUUACUGACGCUGAGGCUCGAAAGUGUGGGGAGCAAACAGGAUUAGAUACC
rnacentral:rRNA from 1 species